UACGAAGGGGGCUAGCGUUGCUCGGAAUUACUGGGCGUAAAGCGCACGUAGGCGGAUUUGUAAGUCAGGGGUGAAAUCCCGGGGCUCAACCUCGGAACUGCCUUUGAUACUGCAAAUCUUGAGUCCGGAAGAGGUGAGUGGAAUUCCUAGUGUAGAGGUGAAAUUCGUAGAUAUUAGGAAGAACACCAGUGGCGAAGGCGGCUCACUGGUCCGGUACUGACGCUGAGGUGCGAAAGCGUGGGGAGCAAACAGG
rnacentral:rRNA from 1 species